GUUGACCUCGGAUCAGGUAGGGAUACCCGCUGAA
rnacentral:rRNA from 31 species